rnacentral:lncRNA from 1 species
AAAAAUGUAAAAAUGGCCUUCAAACAAAACUUAAAAACUACAUUAUGCCAAUCCCUACAUGUUCAAAUACAACAAUUCUCACUAAGUUUUAAAGAUUGCUUGCUUCAGCUUUACAAUGUUUCCAGCCUUGAGUUACCACAUCGAAUCUUGACUGAUAGCCUAAUCAAAUACCAUCUGUGGAAAAAAAAAACAGCUCGGCUAUGAGCUCUAGGAAAAAAUACUUGCAAAAUCUACAGGUCGCUCAAGGAUAUCUCCCCUGUUGCACUCGAGUUGUGACUUGAUCUUGGUCUUGCUUCUCAUCUAUAGACCAAAGAAUCAGCACUUCGAUUUCCCUCACGAAGAUCAUUGUCCACGUAUCUGUCAUCUGCUCAUAAAGAUACAAUCCGCAAUAAGGGCUCUGUUGUUGCUUCCGGGACUCGUCAUUACUUUGUUCAUGGCAACUUGAAGACCUUGCUUUUAUACUGCAGUCCUCCAAAUGUCUCAUAGCCUUCAUUUCUAGCUAUCCCCCCUAUCCCCUUUCACUCAUACAUUCCUGUUCAAGCAAAACAAAACCUAUAGGAGAAAACACCCACGUAAUGAGUUUGUCAUUUUGUUCCCCUCACUUACAAAUUGGACUUUGGCCUGUUCGAAGUUUAACAUGCAUUCGGUUAAAACUCUCUCAAUAGCUUUCGUGGCUCCUGUGUUUUCCAAAUUUGCCUUGGGCACAAAUGACCACAGCAUCCACAGAAUUUCUUGACUUAGGAAAGAGACUUGAGUCAGUUCUGAAGUCUCUUUCCUAAAUAACAACCCUUCUUAGGUAGUGUCCUCAAAACACACCAUCAUAAGCAGUUCACAUUAAGAACACACCACAGGAAUACUCUGAAAUUUUUUAGGAAUUUGAAACCAUCGGUUCCACUUACCUUUGAACUCCAUUGAUGUUAAUCCAUGAUGAGGGAAGGGAAACUUAUGCCUGAACCUGCAAGGUUCCUGUUAAACUCUUCUUCAAGAACUUGUAAACACCGGUGGUAGCUUGCUCAGCUAAGUCAAGUUUUUUUUCAAGGGAUUUAUCACAAUCCACCAGUCAUUACAGUUUUGGAUCAAUCCCAUAUUUCAUUUUGUCUCUCCAAAUGGCAUAGGAUUUGUUAUUAACAGUGGAAUGAUCUAGCCGAUAUCUAAUUUGCUGUCAUUGGAACUUUAAACAAUGAGUGUAUUUAGGUCGUACUAGACAGAAAAUAGCUAAUCAUCUUUAAUAGUUCAGAUUUGGCUGCAGGGCAUAAUACCAAAAUAAAGAUCCUUGCUACAAGGCAUGCAUGCUAAAGAUUACAAGGCUAGCUGCUUCCAGAGUGCAAGCAAGGCUCAGCAACCCUACUUUGUAGUUACGCUACAGCAAGUAGCACUAGCCUUGAUGCUGAUAGAUGUGGCUCAGUGAAGAAACCCACGAGCCCCCCUACCCGCUCACACAACAACCCCUAAUGACCAAGUUGCCUUCUAUUGAGAUUGGGAAAGUGGCAAUUUUACUAGCAAGGGGCAUAUUAAAGCCUUCUACAACAAAUGAAGGCUGACAAAUAAUUGAAUCAUAUUAAGAGUCCAUCAGAGCAUGUAUUCAUGCUAGAGCAGCUCAAACACUACCUUAUUUGCGGAGUACCAGAAUCAUAUGUGCCACCCACACCAUAAAGGUAAUAUGUGCUUUGGUGAAUCAUAUCAAAAUAAUGUUUUAUGUCAACAAAGAAAAUGACAAGAUUUAAAAACAUCUUGAAUGUUCACAUCAUCUAGUAUUCAGAUAUUGAAAUUGUAUAUGUAUCCAUCCAAUUAUAAUUACCCACGAAUAAAAUAAGCUGUGUGCUUGUAAGACACUUUUAGAUAGAGCAGUGAAAGGAUCAGCCUGAAGGUUUUGAUCAAAUGCAGGAAGCCAGUGAAAACUGAGAUGUGUACAAAUAUGGGGAUAAAACUAAAUGUCGGGAGAAGUCUAAGUUAUCAUUCAAUACUAGAAUGCAACCCACGCCUUUUAUUACAACCCAUCACCAAGCUUAAAGCACAGUGUAGUUUCUAUUGAAGAGGUUGCAAAUGUCACAAUGUUAUAACUUGAACAAGGACAGGGGCCCUCUUCCUUCUUCCCCACUAACAUCUCAAGCCAACACCACACCCUGCUCAGACCUUUUACAUUUGACCAUCAUAUCCAUUUUCACUCUAAAAGAUGUACAAACCCCAUAAAAGUAAAGGAAAUGAAGGAUAAUACAAGAUAUAAAAAAGUAAAUUAAAAUCAAUUUGUAUGCCUCAAAGGAUUGGGAAAAGAGGAAACUUCAAGAAUAAUAGGGGAAAAACAUGUACUUUUUACUUUAAGCACACAUAUUUAUUGAAGGAGCUGAAUAGCUGCCAUUUCCUCCCUGAAACUAAUUGAAAUUGGUCAUAAAUGUUGCUCAAACCAAAAUUGUUCAAACUACUAAUAAUGUAUGAAUUUUUCAGUGAAAGGAAACUAGCAUCUUUACAGCUGAAUCAAGACCAUAGAAUCAAAAAUAUAUGUUCCUAAAAUCAAAAGAGAAAUAAAUAAAUAAAUAAAAUCCCAUAUCAGAUUUCUUGAAGUACCUUCGAUUUGGAUGAUGAGGAUUGUCUAAUCUGUUUGUCGCCGUGGUAGCCAUUAUAAUUAGGGUUUGAUGUAAGUGAUUAAGGAAAACGGGUGCGUUAGUCCUAACCACUAAAGGGGCUUUGGACGGCGAUGAGGAGGGUUUUAGGGUUUCUGGAGGGUGAAUAUAUAUACAUUUUUUCCCUCUUCCAAACAAG